AGCUCCAAUAGCGUAUCUUAAAGUUGUUGCAGUUAAAAAGCUCGUAGUUGGAUUUCUGGGAGCGCGCCAAUGUCCGCCCUCCGGCGAGCGCAGCGGCGCGCUUCCAUCCUUCUGUUUACGCCUCUUGGCAUUCACUUGCUGGUGGCGGGCUCAGAUAUUUUACCUUGAGAAAAUUAGAGUGUUUCAGGCAGGCUAGGCCGGAAUACAUUAGCAUGGAAUAAUGGAAUAGGACUACGGUCUCUUUGUUGGUGUGAGGGACUGCAGUAAUGAUUAAUAGGGAUAGUUGGGGGCAUUAGUAUUUAAUUGUCAGAGGUGGAAUGCUCAGAUUUGUUAAAGACUAACUUAUGCGAAAGCAUUUGCCAAGGAUGGUU
rnacentral:rRNA from 1 species